AGAAUUUGAUCUUGGUUCAGGAUGAACGCUAGCUACAGGCUUAACACAUGCAAGUCGAGGGGCAGCAUUGGAGUAGCAAUACUUCAGAUGGCGACCGGCGCACGGGUGAGUAACACGUAUCCAACCUGCCGCUUACUCGGGGAUAGCCUUUCGAAAGAAAGAUUAAUACCCGAUGGUAUAAAGAGUUCGCAUGUUCUCUUUAUUAAAGAAUUUCGGUAAGCGAUGGGGAUGCGUUCCAUUAGAUAGUUGGCGGGGUAACGGCCCACCAAGUCUACGAUGGAUAGGGGUUCUGAGAGGAAGGUCCCCCACAUUGGAACUGAGACACGGUCCAAACUCCUACGGGAGGCAGCAGUGAGGAAUAUUGGUCAAUGGACGAGAGUCUGAACCAGCCAAAGUAGCGUGAAGGAUGACUGCCCUAUGGGUUGUAAACUUCUUUUAUAAGGGAAUAAAGUGAGGGACGUGUCCCUUUUUGUAUGUACCUUAUGAAUAAGGAUCGGCUAACUCCGUGCCAGCCGCCGC
rnacentral:rRNA from 1 species